rnacentral:rRNA from 1 species
GACGAACGCUGGCGGCGUGCUUAACACGUGCAAGUCGAACGGAAAGGCCCUGCUUUUGUGGGGUGCUCGAGUGGCGAACGGGUGAGUAACACGUGAGUAACCUGCCCUUGACUUUGGGAUAACUUCAGGAAACUGGGGCUAAUACCGGAUAGGAGCUCCUGCUGCAUGGUGGGGGUUGGAAAGUUUCGGCGGUUGGGGAUGGACUCGCGGCUUAUCAGCUUGUUGGUGGGGUAGUGGCUUACCAAGGCUUUGACGGGUAGCCAGCCUGAGAGGGUGACCGGCCACAUUGGGACUGAGAUACGGCCCAGACUCCUACGGGAGGCAGCAGUGGGGAAUAUUGCACAAUGGGCGGAAGCCUGAUGCAGCAACGCCGCGUGCGGGAUGACGGCCUUCGGGUUGUAAACCGCUUUCGCCUGUGACGAAGCGUGAGUGACGGUAAUGGGUAAAGAAGCACCGGCUAACUACGUG